AGGAUCAUUCGCAAUGGGCGAAAGCCUGACGAUGCGACGCUGCGAGGAGGAUGAAGGCCUUCGGGUUGUAAACUCCUGUCAUGGGGGAAGAGGCGAGGGGACCCAAUACGUCCCUUAGUUGACUGUACCCCAAGAGGAAUGGGCGGCUAACUCAGUGCCAGCAGCCGCGGUAAUACAGAGGCCCAUAGCGUUGUUCGGAUUUACUGGGCGUAAAGGGCGCGUAGGCGGCAGGGCGUGUCAAGUGUGAAAUCUCCGGGCCCAACCCGGAAAGUGCGCUUGAAACUACCUUGCUCGAGGCCGGGAGAGGGAAUCGGAAUACAGGGUGUAGCGGUGAAAUGCGUUGAUAUCCUGUAGAACACCGGAGGCGAAGGCGGAUUCCUGGAACGGUACUGACGCUGAGGCGCGAAAGUCGGGGGAGCAAACA
rnacentral:rRNA from 1 species